GCGAAGAACCUUACCUACUCUUGACAUCCAGAGAACUUUCCAGAGAUGGAUUGGUGCCUUCGGGAACUCUGAGACAGGUGCUGCAUGGCUGUCGUCAGCUCGUGUUGUGAAAUGUUGGGUUAAGUCCCGCAACGAGCGCAACCCUUAUCCUUGUUUGCCAGCGAGUAAUGUCGGGAACUCCAGGGAGACUGCCGGUGAUAAACCGGAGGAAGGUGGGGACGACGUCAAGUCAUCAUGGCCCUUACGAGUAGGGCUACACACGUGCUACAAUGGCGCAUACAGAGGGCAGCCAACUUGCGAAAGUGAGCGAAUCCCAAAAAGUGCGUCGUAGUCCGGAUUGGAGUCUGCAACUCGACUCCAUGAAGUCGGAAUCGCUAG
rnacentral:rRNA from 1 species